rnacentral:rRNA from 1 species
GUUAUCGUUUAUUUGAUAGUACCUUACUACUUGGAUAACCGUGGUAAUUCUAGAGCUAAUACAUGCUGAAAACCCCGACUUCGGGAGGGGUGUAUUUAUUAGAUAAAAAACCAAUGCCCUUCGGGGCUCUUUGGUGAUUCAUGAUAACUUCUCAGAUCGCAUGGCCUUGCGCCGGCGACGGUUCAUUCAAAUUUCUGCCCUAUCAACUUUCGAUGGUAAGGUAUUGGCUUACCAUGGUUUCAACGGGUAACGGGGAAUUAGGGUUCGAUUCCGGAGAGGGAGCCUGAGAAACGGCUACCACAUCCAAGGAAGGCAGCAGGCGCGCAAAUUACCCAAUCCCGACACGGGGAGGUAGUGACAAUAAAUACUGAUACAGGGCUCUUUUGGGUCUUGUAAUUGGAAUGAGUACAAUUUAAACCUCUUAACGAGGAACAAUUGGAGGGCAAGUCUGGUGCCAGCAGCCGCGGUAAUUCCAGCUCCAAUAGCGUAUAUUAAAGUUGUUGCAGUUAAAAAGCUCGUAGUUGAACCUUUGGCCUGGCUGGCAGGUCCGCCUCACCGCGUGCACUUGACCGGCCGGGCCUUUUCUUCUGGAGAACCGCAUGCCCUUCACUGGGUGUGUUGGGGACCAGGACUUUUACUUUGAAAAAAUUAGAGUGUUCAAAGCAGGCCUUUGCUCGAAUACGUUAGCAUGGAAUAAUAGAAUAGGACGUGCGGUCCUAUUUUGUUGGUUUCUAGGACCGUCGUAAUGAUUAAUAGGGACAGUCGGGGGCAUCAGUAUUCAAUUGUCAGAGGUGAAAUUCUUGGAUUUAUUGAAGACUAACUACUGCGAAAGCAUUUGCCAAGGAUGUUUUCAUUAAUCAGUGAACGAAAGUUAGGGGAUCGAAGACGAUCAGAUACCGUCGUAGUCUUAACCAUAAACUAUGCCGACUAGGGAUCGGGCGGUGUUUCUAUUUUGACUCGCUCG